rnacentral:tRNA from 1 species
GGUGGCUCAGUGGGAGAGUGUUUGCCUUGCAUGCAUGAGGCCCUGGGUUCGAUUCCUCAGCACCA